rnacentral:lncRNA from 1 species
AGAUCUCUAAACAUGAUUAUUAAUUAUAGUGGUAAAAGAGAUAUAAAUAAUAAUAACAUAAAUUGUGUUGACUUUCCAAACCAAACUCAAACUUUCCUUAUGUAAGAAAACCUGCAUUCUGUUAGGGAGAAAUGUAAAAUCAAAUAUCCAUCCUUCUUUCCCCUUUUUUUAUAGAUAAAAUUAGAACAACAUAAUUAUAGUAAUAAUCCAGUCUUGGUUUCUGACUUAAUUUUUCAAACAAACAUCAACCAAAAGAUCACGAAACCUAUGAUCAUUUAUCUAAUCUCUUUUUCACAUAUAAUUCAUAUCUUAACAUAUAAACAGUGAAGAGACGUGGCCAAAACAAACUCGAAGCAAAUAAAAUGGCUCAUGAUACUGCACAGAAAGAAAGAAAAAUAAAAAAGAUAUCAAACAUUCACCAUUUCUCUUAUCCCUCUCUUUGACUCUCUCAUGCUUUCAUAAAGUCAUCACACAAUACAAAUUGAUUAUCCAUAAACAUAAACAAUAAUAAAAUAAGUGCGUUAUUAAAACAAAUCCAAUAUUUACAUCUCUAAUUUACUCAAAACAAUCAACACCCAAAAAUGAUGCAGUAACAACAAGGAAUGAAACUCCAUCCAAAAAUCAUUACCAAAUGCCAAGAAAUUCCACAUCGAUAUUUUUGAAUGCAAUCGUCAUUGUGGAAGGAACACACUCAACACAGGUGAUGGAAUGAAGUGACAUCACUGUAAAGUUUUACUCUUCGUGAGAACCACCAUCGGUUGGAAGUGAGCAAUGGUUGAGAGAGAAGAUCUCGCAGCGCCAUGGAUGGAAGGUUGUCGCCGUUGGUGGCCUUCGAUAGUUUUAUGGUUUGUUUGAAGGUUGAGUAUGGAAGAUGUUAUGGAGGUGUUUGAGGGUGGAAUCUCCGGCGGAUGGUAGUUGUUGAUGACGUUGUCGGUGGUCGUUUGAUGGACGGAGUGGAGAACGGUGAUAGGUUUUUUCGUGGGGUUGUGAAGCCAAAACGGCGGUCGGAGGUUGUUAGGAAGGCGACGAAGGUUAUGGAGGAGGUGAGGACGAACGGAGGUGAAGGGGAUGUUGUGUGGAAGAAGAGCGAUGAUGUGUGUUAUAGGUAAAGAAGAGAAAAGACGAGAGGUUUUGGAAAGGAAGAAGAAGGACUUCCUCCCACCUCUUAAUUUACUGAGUUUUUUAUUCUUUCCUUUUUGAGAGGAGAUCUUGAAGAAAAUAGGUGAGUAUCCAUUUUCAUCACGAGUGGAGGCUUUUUUUUAUUGAUGAAGAAGAGGAGUUGAGAAAAAUCCGUCCAAAAAGCAAAAAACCCUCUCAAAAAAGUUUUUUUUAUCUUUUUCCCUUCAUGACCGUUGGAGUCAUAGAGAGGAAAAGCCUCUUUUUAUUUUCCAAGAAAACGUGUCCCCUUAUGUUAGCUGGCUCUUUCUUUCUUUAUCAUCUUACCCCCUAAGCAAGGUACUUUCACACCCAACUCCAAAAGGAAAA